UUACACAUGCAAGUCGAACGGCAGCAUGAUCUAGCUUGCUAGAUUGAUGGCGAGUGGCGAACGGGUGAGUAAUACAUCGGAACGUGCCCUGUAGUGGGGGAUAACUAGUCGAAAGAUUAGCUAAUACCGCAUACGACCUGAGGGUGAAAGUGGGGGACCGCAAGGCCUCAUGCUAUAGGAGCGGCCGAUGUCUGAUUAGCUAGUUGGUGAGGUAAAGGCUCACCAAGGCGACGAUCAGUAGCUGGUCUGAGAGGACGAUCAGCCACACUGGGACUGAGACACGGCCCAGACUCCUACGGGAGGCAGCAGUGGGGAAUUUUGGACAAUGGGGGCAACCCUGAUCCAGCAAUGCCGCGUGUGUGAAGAAGGCCUUCGGGUUGUAAAGCACUUUUGUCCGGAAAGAAAUCGCACUUACUAAUAUUAGGUGUGGAUGACGGUACCGGAAGAAUAAGGACCGGCUAACUACGUGCCAGCAGCCGCGGUAAUACGUAGGGUCCAAGCGUUAAUCGGAAUUACUGGGCGUAAAGCGUGCGCAGGCGGUUGUGCAAGACCGAUGUGAAAUCCCCGGGCUUAACCUGGGGAAUUGCAUUGGUGACUGCACGGCUAGAGUGUGUCAGAGGGGGUAGAAUUCCACGUGUAGCAGUGAAAUGCGUAGAGAUGUGGAGGAUACCGAUGGCGAAGCAGCCCCUGGGAUACACUGACNNNCAUGCACGAAAGNGUGGGGAGCAANCAGGAUNNNAUACCUGGUAGUCACGCCCUAAACGAUGUCAACUAGUGUGGGGAUCAUUCCUUAGUAACGUAGCUAACGCGUGAAGUUGACCGCCUGGGGAGUACGGUCGCAAGAUUAAAACUCAAAGGAAUUGACGGGGACCCGCACAAGCGGUGGAUGAUGUGGAUUAAUUCGAUGCAACGCGAAAAACCUUACCUACCCUUGACAUGCCACUAACGAAGCAGAGAUGCAUUAGGUGCUCGAAAGAGAAAGUGGACACAGGUGCUGCAUGGCUGUCGUCAGCUCGUGUCGUGAGAUGUUGGGUUAAGUCCCGCAACGAGCGCAACCCUUGUCUCUAGUUGCUACGAAAGGGCACUCUAGAGAGACUGCCGGUGACAAACCGGAGGAAGGUGGGGAUGACGUCAAGUCCUCAUGGCCCUUAUGGGUAGGGCUUCACACGUCAUACAAUGGUGCAUACAGAGGGUUGCCAAGCCGCGAGGUGGAGCUAAUCCCAGAAAAUGCAUCGUAGUCCGGAUCGUAGUCUGCAACUCGACUACGUGAAGCUGGAAUCGCUAGUAAUCGCGGAUCAGCAUGCCGCGGUGAAUACGUUCCCGGGUCUUGUACACACCGCCCGUCACACCAUGGGAGUGGGUUUUGCCAGAAGUAGUUAGCCUAACCGCAAGGGGGGCGAUUACCACGGCAGGGUUCAUGACUGGGGUGAAGUCGUAACAAGGU
rnacentral:rRNA from 1 species